rnacentral:rRNA from 1 species
UACGGAGGGAGCUAGCGUUGUUCGGAAUUACUGGGCGUAAAGCGCGCGUAGGCGGCUUUGUAAGUUAGAGGUGAAAGCCCGGGGCUCAACCCCGGAACUGCCUUUAAGACUGCAUCGCUUGAAUCCAGGAGAGGUGAGUGGAAUUCCGAGUGUAGAGGUGAAAUUCGUAGAUAUUCGGAAGAACACCAGUGGCGAAGGCGACACACUGGCCCAUUACUGACGCUGAGGCUCGGAAAGCGUGGGGAGCAAACACGG